rnacentral:rRNA from 1 species
GACACGGAGAGUUUGAUCCUGGCUCAGGAUGAACGCUGGCGGUAUGCUUAACACAUGCAAGUCGCACGGACACCUUCGGGUGUUAGUGGCGGACGGGUGAGUAACACGUAGGAAUCUACCCUCAGGCGGGGGAUAACAGCUGGAAACGGCUGCUAAUACCCCAUACAGGCGGAAGCUGAAAGGAGCAAUCCACCUGAGGAUGAGCCUGCGUCGGAUUAGCUAGUUGGUGGGGUAAUGGCCUACCAAGGCGAC